rnacentral:rRNA from 1 species
AGAUUGAACGCUGGCGGCAGGCCUAACACAUGCAAGUCGAGCGGCAGCACGGGUACUUGUACCUGGUGGCGAGCGGCGGACGGGUGAGUAAUGCCUAGGAAUCUGCCUGAUAGUGGGGGAUAACGUUCGGAAACGGACGCUAAUACCGCAUACGUCCUACGGGAGAAAGUGGGGGAUCUUCGGACCUCACGCUAUCAGAUGAGCCUAGGUCGGAUUAGCUAGUUGGUAGGUAAGCCUACCAAGGCUACGAUCCGUAACUGGUCUGAGAGGAUGAUCAGUCACACUGGAACUGAGACACGGUCCAGACUCCUACGGGAGGCAGCAGUGGGGAAUAUUGGACAAGUGGGACGAAAGCCUGAUCCAGCCAUGCCGCGUGUGUGAAGAAGGUCUUACGGAUUAGUAAAGCUAACUUUAAGGUUGGGAAGGAAGGACUAAUUAACCUAAUUACGUUAGUAGUUUUUGACGUUUACCGACGAAGUAAUAAGCACCGGACUAACUCGUAGU